rnacentral:rRNA from 1 species
UACGUAGGGUGCGAGCGUUAUUCGGAAUUACUGGGCGUAAAGAGUGCGCAGGCGGCUAAGCAAGUCGAGUGUGAAAGCCCCGGGCUUAACUUGGGAAUUGCGCUCGAAACUACUUGGCUGGAGUGUGGCAGAGGAAGGUGGAAUUCCACGUGUAGCGGUGAAAUGCGUAGAGAUGUGGAGGAACACCAAUGGCGAAGGCAGCCUUCUGGGCCAACACUGACGCUCAUGCACGAAAGCGUGGGGAGCAAACAGG